AGAUCAUAUGGAUCAACGAAGCCUGGCUAUUGCGAAGGUGGCACAGCAUCGAAGUUGCCUGCUCCGUUCACUUGACUAGCCAUCGUCCUAUAGACACUUACCAACAGAACUAAAAAUUAUAAGCAAUGACCACAAGCAAUGAUGGUAACCUAUAAAUAAGAUGCGGAAGCUAUGAGCUCACCUCUCACAGGACGCAGAACCAAGUAGGUCUCCUAGCACAACCACUAAACAAUGCGUGUAAGAUGAAGAGCCGAUGAGCAAAGGCCUUCGGGGCACUCCUAUUUAUUGAAGCACCGUGACCGAUCAACAACGCAGUGCACCUUCU
rnacentral:lncRNA from 1 species